rnacentral:rRNA from 1 species
UGGCAAAAAGGAGCCGGUAUUAGGCACAACCCUACGUUAGCCCAUAACACCUUGCCCAGCCACACCCCCAAGGGAAUCAGCAGUAAUAAACAUUAAGCCAUGAGUGCAAACUUGACUUAGUUAUCAUCAAGAGGGCCGGUAAACCCCGUGCCAGCCACCGCGGUUAAACGGGAGGCCCAAGUUGACAGAAAUCGGCGUAAAGGGUGGUUAAUAAAUAUUAAACUAAGGCCGAACACCUUCAGGGCUGUCGCACGCAUCUGAAGGCAGGAAGACCCCCAACGAAAGUGGCUUUAACAAACAUGAAUCCACGAAAGCUAGGGAACAAACUGGGAUUAGAUACCCCACUAUGCCUAGCCCUAAACAAAGGCCCCACGCACACACAUACCGCUCGCCAGGGAACAACGAGCCCCAGCUUAAAACCCAAAGGACUUGGCGGUGCUUUAGACCCCCCUAGAGGAGCCUGUUCUAGAACCGAUUCCCCCCGUUCAACCUCACCCUCUCUUGUUCUCCCAGCCUAUAUACCGCCGUCGUCAGCUUACCCCGUGAUGGCCCAACAGUAAGCAAAAUUGGCAAAGCCCAAAACGUCAGGUCGAGGUGUAGCGUACGAGAGGGGAAGAAAUGGGCUACAUUUACUGAUUCAGUAAACACGAAUGUUGCACUGAAACAAGCAUCUGAAGGAGGAUUUAGUAGUAAGGGGGCAAUAGAGCGCCCCCCCUGAAAAUGGCCCUGAAGCAAGUACACACCGCCCGUCACUCUCCCCAAAAAUCGCAUUAUAUAAAUAAUACAAUUAAGCCCCACCA